rnacentral:rRNA from 1 species
GCACCAGUGGGGAAUCUUGCACAAUGGAGGAAACUCUGAUGCAGCGAUGCCGCGUGAGUGAAGAAGGCCUUUGGGUUGUAAAGCUCUUUUGUAGGGGAAGAUAAUGACUGUACCCUAAGAAUAAGGUCCGGCUAACUUCGUGCCAGCAGCCGCGGUAAUACGAAGGGACCUAGCGUAGUUCGGAAUUACUGGGCGUAAAGCGCGCGUAGGCCGUUGAGUUAGUUAAUUGUGAAAUCCCAAAGCUUAACUUUGGAACUGCAAUUAAAACUGCUCGGACUAGAGUUUGAUAGAGGAAAGCGGAAUACAUAGUGUAGAGGUGAAAUUCGUAGAUAUUAUGUAGAACACCAGUUGCGAAGGCGGCUUUCUGGAUCAACACUGACGCUGAGGCGCGAAAGUAUGGGUAGCAAAGAGGAUUAGAUACCC